ACUUGAUAUUUUUUAAAAUUCUUGUCUACGAACUCGUGAUAACUCUUAAUAGUAGAAUUUCUAUUUCUAGAAAUUUCAUAUGCAGUUUUUAGCUUUCCAGUGGAUGACCCAGCUUAAGAGAUUCUAUCUCGUUAAUUGAAAACUGUGUCAAACUAGAAAUGAAAGAUCAAUGUAAGAGGAAUACAAAGGCUCGAGCUAUGACCUUUUCUGACAUCAAAUCUUGCGGAUGGUCUCAUAGUCCUCUGCAUCCUUGGAAACGUAUGAUGUGUCCAAUUUUGAUGGAUUAGAAGCAUUAUAGAGCAUGUUUAGCUAAGUUUAAAAAUUUGAAGAUGCUCUGAAACAUCCGUACCUAAACUCGCUCCACGACAUCAGUGAUGAGCCUACUUGUCCAACUCUGUUUUGCUUUGACUUCGAGCAGCAUGCUGUUACCGAAGAACAGAUGAAGGAGCUGAUUUACAGGGAGUCUCUUGCAUUCGAUCCCCAGUAUAGGCAAGUACGAAGAAUCGUCUGACUCUAAUGUUGUAAUGAUUUCAUGUAUAUAUGGUCCAUCCCAUACUGGAAUGGCUUUGAUCUGAAAUUAUCAUGGUUAAUUUGAAAUCUUGUGAAUUCUUGCCUGCUGCAUUAGGCUUUGGAAUUUAAGGUUAGAUUAUGGUGUUAAGCUUUGAAUGUUUCUUCUAUUUAUUGAAGCAUUGUUCUGAAAAAUGACCUCAAAAAUUGCAAUCACUAAUUUCUUGAAUUACUUGGUUACAGUGCCAAAAUAUUCAAUUGUGUAUGCAGAGCUUUGUGAAAUGGGUUACGUCGACCUGCUUGGUUUCGAAGUUACUCGAUAUGGCUCAUCCUUUGGCCCGACAUGGCCUCUAGUUUUCAAGCAGGUCGGUCCACUGCACAACCCGUGCCGAAUUGGCCCGGGCUUAGU